rnacentral:rRNA from 1 species
CAGCAGCCACGGUAAAACGGAGGGGGCUAGCGUUGUUCGGAAUUACUGGGCGUAAAGCGCACGUAGGCGGCUUGGUAAGUUAGAGGUGAAAGCCUGGAGCUCAACUCCAGAAUUGCCUUUAAGACUGCCGAGCUAGCAGGUGAGAGAGGUAAGUGGAAUUCCGAGUGUAGAGGUGAAAUUCGUAGAUAUUCGGAAGAACACCAGUGGCGAAGGCGGCUUACUGGCUCAUACUGGACGCUGAGGUGCGAAAGCGUGGGGAGCAAACAGGAUUAGAUACCCCUGUAGUCCCUGUCUCUUAUAC